rnacentral:rRNA from 1 species
GAUGAACGCUGGCGGCGUGCCUAAUACAUGCAAGUCGAGCGAACGGACGAGAAGCUUGCUUCUCUGAUGUUAGCGGCGGACGGGUGAGUAACACGUGGAUAACCUACCUAUAAGACUGGGAUAACUUCGGGAAACCGGAGCUAAUACCGGAUGAUAUUUUGAACCGCAUGGUUCAAAAGUGAAAGACGGUCUUGCUGUCACUUAUAGAUGGAUCCGCGCUGCAUUAGCUAGUUGGUAAGGUAACGGCUUACCAAGGCAACGAUGCAUAGCCGACCUGAGAGGGUGAUCGGCCACACUGGAACUGAGACACGGUCCAGACUCCUACGGGAGGCAGCAGUAGGGAAUCUUCCGCAAUGGGCGAAAGCCUGACGGAGCAACGCCGCGUGAGUGAUGAAGGUCUUCGGAUCGUAAAACUCUGUUAUUAGGGAAGAACAUAUGUGUAAGUAACUGUGCACAUCUUGACGGUACCUAAUCAGAAAGCCACGGCUAACUACGUGCCAGCAGCCGCGGUAAUACGUAGGUGGCAAGCGUUAUCCGGAAUUAUUGGGCGUAAAGCGCGCGUAGGCGGUUUUUUAAGUCUGAUGUGAAAGCCCACGGCUCAACCGUGGAGGGUCAUUGGAAACUGGAAAACUUGAGUGCAGAAGAGGAAAGUGGAAUUCCAUGUGUAGCGGUGAAAUGCGCAGAGAUAUGGAGGAACACCAGUGGCGAAGGCGACUUUCUGGUCUGUAACUGACGCUGAUGUGCGAAAGCGUGGGGAUCAAACAGGAUUAGAUACCCUGGUAGUCCACGCCGUAAACGAUGAGUGCUAAGUGUUAGGGGGUUUCCGCCCCUUAGUGCUGCAGCUAACGCAUUAAGCACUCCGCCUGGGGAGUACGACCGCAAGGUUGAAACUCAAAGGAAUUGACGGGGACCCGCACAAGCGGUGGAGCAUGUGGUUUAAUUCGAAGCAACGCGAAGAACCUUACCAAAUCUUGACAUCCUUUGACAACUCUAGAGAUAGAGCCUUCCCCUUCGGGGGACAAAGUGACAGGUGGUGCAUGGUUGUCGUCAGCUCGUGUCGUGAGAUGUUGGGUUAAGUCCCGCAACGAGCGCAACCCUUAAGCUUAGUUGCCAUCAUUAAGUUGGGCACUCUAAGUUGACUGCCGGUGACAAACCGGAGGAAGGUGGGGAUGACGUCAAAUCAUCAUGCCCCUUAUGAUUUGGGCUACACACGUGCUACAAUGGACAAUACAAAGGGCAGCGAAACCGCGAGGUCAAGCAAAUCCCAUAAAGUUGUUCUCAGUCCGGAUUGUAGUCUGCAACUCGACUACAUGAAGCUGGAAUCGCUAGUAAUCGUAGAUCAGCAUGCCACGGUGAAUACGUUCCCGGGUCU